CCUACGGGCGUCAGCAGUGAGGAAUAUUUGUCAAUGGGCGCGAGCCUGAACCAGCCAAGUCGCGUGAGGGAAGACGGUCCUAUGGAUUGUACACCUCUUUUGUCGGGGAGCAAAAGACGCCACGCGUGGCGUUCCGAGAGUAACCGAAGAAAAAGCAUCGGCUAACCCAGUACCAGCAGCAGCGGUACUAAGGAGGAUGCGAGCGUGAUCCGGAUUUAUUGGGUUUAAAGGGUUCGCAGGCGGAAGGUCCAGUCAGCGGUAAAAUUGAGAGGCUCAACCUCUUCGAGCCGUUGAAACCGGUUUUCUUGAGUGAGUGAGAAGUAUGCGGAAUGCGUGGUGUAGCGGUGAAAUGCAUAGAUAUCACGCAGAACUCCGAUUGCGAAGGCAGCAUACCGGCGCUCAACUGACGCUCAUGCACGAAAGUGUGGGUAUCGAACAGGAUUAGAUACCCGGGUAGUC
rnacentral:rRNA from 1 species